UCUGGCGGGUGCUUACACAUGCAAGUCGAACGAUGACGACCGAGCUUGCUCGGUCUGAUUAGUGGCGAACGGGUGAGUAACACGUGAGCAACCUGCCCUUCACUCUGGGAUAACCUCGGGAAAUCGGGGCUAAUACCGGAUAUGAGCUCCUGUCGCAUGGCGGGGGUUGGAAAGUUUUUCGGUGAAGGAUGGGCUCGCGGCCUAUCAGUUUGUUGGUGAGGUAGUGGCUCACCAAGGCGAUGACGGGUAGCCGGCCUGAGAGGGCGACCGGCCACACUGGGACUGAGACACGGCCCAGACUCCUACGGGAGGCAGCAGUGGGGAAUAUUGCACAAUGGGCGAAAGCCUGAUGCAGCGACGCCGCGUGAGGGAUGACGGCCUUCGGGUUGUAAACCUCUUUCAGCAGGGAAGAAGCGAAAGUGACGGUACCUGCAGAAGAAGCGCCGGCUAACUACGUGCCAGCAGCCGCGGUAAUACGUAGGGCGCAAGCGUUGUCCGGAAUUAUUGGGCGUAAAGAGCUUGUAGGUGGCUUGUCGCGUCUGCCGUGAAAACCCGAGGCUCAACCUCGGGCGUGCGGUGGGUACGGGCAGGCUAGAGUGUGGUAGGGGAGACUGGAACUCCUGGUGUAGCGGUGAAAUGCGCAGAUAUCAGGAAGAACACCGAUGGCGAAGGCAGGUCUCUGGGCCAUUACUGACACUGAGAAGCGAAAGCAUGGGGAGCGAACAGGAUUAGAUACCCUGGUAGUCCAUGCCGUAAACGUUGGGCACUAGAUGUGGGGGACAUUCCACGUUUUCCGCGUCGUAGCUAACGCAUUAAGUGCCCCGCCUGGGGAGUACGGCCGCAAGGCUAAAACUCAAAGGAAUUGACGGGGGCCCGCACAAGCGGCGGAGCAUGCGGAUUAAUUCGAUGCAACGCGAAGAACCUUACCAAGGCUUGACAUGCACCGGACGACUCCA
rnacentral:rRNA from 1 species